AUGCCAUGGUGCGGACAUUUCCUCAACAGCUACUUAAACCUUUCCCACGUGUCAGGAAUAACUUCAUCAUCCAGUUGUUUAAAAAGACAGCUUUCGUUUCUGGACUU